CCUACGGGCUGCAGCAGUGGGGAAUAUUGCACAAUGGGGGAAACCCUGAUGCAGCGACGCCGCGUGAGUGAAGAAGUAUUUCGGUAUGUAAAGCUCUAUCAGCAGGGAAGAAAAUGACAGUACCUGACCAAGAAGCCCCGUCUAACUACGUGCCAGCAGCCGCAGUACUACGUGGGGGGCAAACGUUAUCCGGAUUUACUGGGGGUAAAGGGAGCGUAGACGGUUAUGUAAGUCUGGAGUGAAAGCCCGGGGGCCAACCCCCGGACUGCUUUGGAAACUGUGUAACGGGAGUAAAGGAGGGGCAGGCGGAAUGCCUGGUGUAGCGGUGAAAUGCGUAGAUAUCAGGAGGAACACCGGCGGCGAAGGCGGCCUGCUGGACUGAAACUGACGUUGAGGCUCGAAAGCGUGGGGAGCAAACAGGAUUAGAUACCCUUGUAGUC
rnacentral:rRNA from 1 species